AAUAAAUACAGUUUUACACUAUUCACGUUUAACAUUUGACCGUUCAUCUUAUUUGAAAAUUUUUUAUGAUUAGUAUUUUUAUUACUAUUAGAUGAUAAAACAUGAAUAGUACUUUAUGUGUGUCUAAAUAUUUUUAAAUUUUUCACAAAUUUUUUAAAUAAAACGAAUGGUCAAACGUUAGACACGGAUAUCCACGACUGCACUUAUU
rfam:Oryza glumipatula chromosome 10, whole genome shotgun sequence.